rnacentral:rRNA from 1 species
AUGCACGCUGGCGGCGUGCCUAAUACAUGCCCGUCGAGCGAACGGACGAGAAGCUUGCUUCUCUGAUGUUAGCGGCGGACGGGUGAGUAACACGUGGAUAACCUACCUAUAAGACUGGGAUAACUUCGGGAAACCGUAGCUAAUACCGGAUAAUAUUUUGAACCGCAUGGUUCAAAAGUGAAAGACGGUCUUGCUGUCACUUAUAGAUGGAUCCGCGCUGCAUUAGCUAGUUGGUAAGGUAACGGCUUACCAAGGCAACGAUGCAUAGCCGACCUGAGAGGGUGAUCGGCCACACUGGAACUGAGACACGGUCCAGACUCCUACGGGAGGCAGCAGUAGGGAAUCUUCCGCAAUGGGCGAAAGCCUGACGGAGCAACGCCGCGUGAGUGAUGAAGGUCUUCGGAUCGUAAAACUCUGUUAUUAGGGAAGAACAUAUGUGUAAGUAACUGUGCACAUCUUGACGGUACCUAAUCAGAAAGCCACGGCUAACUACGUG